rnacentral:tRNA from 1 species
GCCUCGGUAGCUCAGCUGGUAGAGCGACCGCUUCGUAAGCGGUAGGUCGGGGGUUCGAAACCCUCCCGGGGCU